rnacentral:rRNA from 1 species
CCUACGGGAGGCAGCAGUGAGGAAUAUUGGUCAAUUGACGAGAGUCUGAACCAGCCAAGUAGCGUGAAGGAUGACUGCCCUAUGGGUUGUAAACUUCUUUUAUAAAGGAAUAAAACGAGGCACGUGUGCCUUUUUGCAUGUACUUUAUGAAUAAGGAUCGGCUAACUCCGUGCCAGCAGCCGCGGUAAUACGGAGGAUCCGAGCGUUAUCCGGAUUUAUUGGGUUUAAAGGGAGCGUAGAUGGGUUGUUAAGUCAGUUGUGAAAGUUUGCGGCUCAACCGUAAAAUUGCAAUUGAUACUGGCAGUCGUGAGUACAGUUGAGGUAGGCGGAAUUCGUGGUGUAGCGGUGAAAUGCUUAGAUAUCACGAAGAACCCCGAUUGCGAAGGCAGCUUACUAAACUGUGACUGACAUUGAUGCUCGAAAGUGUGGGUAUCAAACAGGAUUAGAUACCCCGGUAGUC